rnacentral:rRNA from 1 species
CCUACGGGCGGCAGCAGUGGGGAAUAUUGCACAAUGGGGGAAACCCUGAUGCAGCGACGCCGCGUGAGUGAUGAAGUAUUUCGGUAUGUAAAGCUCUAUCUGCAGGGAAGAUAAUGACGGUACCUGACUAAGAAGCCCCGGCUAAAUACGUGCCAGCAGCCGCGGUACUACGUAUGGAGCAAGCGUUAUCCGGAUUUACUGGGUGUAAAGGGAGCGCAGGCGGCAGGGCAAGUCUGAUGUGAAAGUCCAGGGCUCAACCCCCGGACUGCAUUGGAAACUGUCCGGCUAGAGUGCAGGAGAGGUAAGUGGAAUUCCUAGUGUAGCGGUGAAAUGCGUAGAUAUGAGGAAGAACACCAGUGGCGAAGGCGGCUUACUGGACUGUAACUGACGUUGAGGCUCGAAAGCGUGGGGAGCGAACAGGAUUAGAUACCCUAGUAGUC